CUAGGAUAAGGCAUUAGAGGGUGAGGGUCGCAUUAGAUACGAACAGCUAUUGAUAAUUACCUGUUUCAUGUUAAAUAAACUGCAAUAACAUGUUAUGUGCUAGCCUCAAAAACACAUAAUUUUUUAUUUGUGCUUUGCUUAAACCAUACAUCGCUAAGUUUCUGGGAAGAUCCUCCAAGAGUAUUCAAAUGGCUCAAGAACUGUUUGCUGUAUGGAGAAUGGACAUAACUCUGCUAAAUAUCGUGAUCCACCAUUGCGAUGUAAAGAGGGAAAGAUUUUCUUACAUUAUAGAUUAUUAACUGGUGCAAUAUUGCCACAGGAUCAUAUAUUGCAACAAAUGAGGAACUCGCAGUUCUAGCAAUGGUUGGGAAAAAAAUUGCACUGCAACAGCAUGAUUUACUGCUUUCUGCAUAUCUCUUCCUUUCCGACAUGCACAGGCUAAAUUUCGUUUUUUCAAUAUAAGGAGCUCUAUAUGUCUGCAACAUGCUACAUUUGCACCCAGUGACAAUUCCAUUUGUGGGUUCUGAUACAAGUGGAAUGGAUCAAUACUAAGUUUGAGGAUGCAUAGGCUGUUGAUGGAUCUAUGACAGAUGGUAUGGAGUAUAUCUUCAACGUAGCAGACAGUUGAGAUGUUGUCGUGGUUUGCUAUUGAAUGAGGUCAUUUUUUGUUUUGUUUUUACUUUAUCUUUCCUUCUAAUAUGCUAUUAAUUGGCAAAGAGACAUUGUUAUGGUGCUGUUUGCUGUUUUCAAUUACAUAACAUAUAUAAUCUAUCUAUGGGUGUUCCAAAUGUGGAUGUGAUUACAUAUAGAAUGUGUAUGUCAUUUGGAACUUUUGUGAUGCUGUUCAUUCAGUACCACUGCUAGCUUUAGUGUCUGAUUAUGCUGUAGAUGUGAGGUUAUUAAUUUUUAUUGGAAUUUUGAGCACCUGUAGUAAUGCCUUAAGUUUUCCUUAAGAAGAGUUUCUCGGCAAUUUGAUUUAGUUCUGCUGGAUUGGUCAUUAAAUUUGAGCUUCCAUCUUAAGGCCGGUAUCCAGCUAUUUAUGAUUACACUGUCUAUGAUGCAAUUCUCUUUUAGUUUCUGUAGUCCCAAGUUUCUGUUAUUCUAAAGUAAUACUUGCUAAAUUAUGUGGGAUGAGCAUUCUCUUAGGUCUUAAGGGUCUACAA